GACGAACGCUGGCGGCGUGCUUAACACAUGCAAGUCGAACGGAAAGGCCCUGCUUUUGUGGGGUGCUCGAGUGGCGAACGGGUGAGUAACACGUGAGUAACCUGCCCUUGACUUUGGGAUAACUUCAGGAAACUGGGGCUAAUACCGGAUAGGAGCUCCUGCUGCAUGGUGGGGGUUGGAAAGUUUCGGCGGUUGGGGAUGGACUCGCGGCUUAUCAGCUUGUUGGUGGGGUAGUGGCUUACCAAGGCUUUGACGGGUAGCCGGCCUGAGAGGUUGACCGGCCACAUUGGGACUGAGAUACGGCCCAGACUCCUACGGGAGGCAGCAGUGGGGAAUAUUGCACAAUGGGCGGAAGCCUGAUGCAGCAACGCCGCGUGCGGGAUGACGGCCUUCGGGUUGUAAACCGCUUUCGCCUGUGACGAAGCGUGAGUGACGGUAAUGGGUAAAGAAGCACCGGCUAACUACGUG
rnacentral:rRNA from 1 species